GACGAACGCUGGCGGCGUGCUUAACACAUGCAAGUCGAACGGAAAGGCCCUGCUUUUGUGGGGUGCUCGAGUGGCGAACGGGUGAGUAACGCGUGAGUAACCUGCCCUUGACUUUGGGAUAACUUCAGGAAACUGGGGCUAAUACCGGAUAGGAGCUCCUGCUGCAUGGUGGGGGUUGGAAAGUUUCGGCGGUUGGGGAUGGACUCGCGGCUUAUCAGCUUGUUGGUGGGGUAGUGGCUUACCAAGGCUUUGACGGGUAGCCGGCCUGAGAGGGUGACCGGCCACAUUGGGACUGAAAUACGGCCCAGACUCCUACGGGAGGCAGCAGUGGGGAAUAUUGCACAAUGGGCGGAAGCCUGAUGCAGCAACGCCGCGUGCGGGAUGACGGCCUUCGGGUUGUAAACCGCUUUCGCCUGUGACGAAGCGUGAGUGACGGUAAUGGGUAAAGAAGCACCGGCUAACUACGUG
rnacentral:rRNA from 1 species